rnacentral:rRNA from 1 species
UUGGAGGGCAAGUCUGGUGCCAGCAGCCGCGGUAAUUCCAGCUCCAAUAGCGUAUAUUAAAGUUGUUGCGGUUAAAAAGCUCGUAGUUGAAUUUCGGGGUUCUACCGUUGGUCGGGCAAUAGUCUGUACUGGCGUGUAGAAUUUCUACCUUCUGGGGAACCAUCGUGUUAUUUAUUUAGCGUGGUGGGAAACCAGGACCUUUACCUUGAAAAAAUUAGAGUGUUCAAAGCAGGCUUACGUCUGAAUACAUUAGCAUGGAAUAAUAAAAUAGGACGGUGGUCCUGUUUUGUUGGUUUCUGAAUCACCGUAAUGAUUAAUAGGGAUAGUUGGGGGCAUUAGUAUUCAAUUGUCAGAGGUGAAAUUCUUGGAUUUAUUGAAGACUAACUUCUGCGAAAGCAUUUGCCAAGGAUGUUUUCAUUAAUCAAGAACGAAAGUUAGGGGAUCGAAGACGAUCAGAUACCGUCGUAGUCUUAACCAUAAACUAUGCCGACUAGGGAUCGGACGAUGUUAAUUUUUCUUGACUCGUUCGGCGCCUUACGGGAAAC